UACCGAGUGCGGGUCCUUCGGGGCCCAACCUCCACCCGUGUCUACCGUACCGUGUUGCUUCGGCGGGCCCGCCGCAAGGCCGCCGGGGGGCGUCACCCCGCCCCCGGGCCCGUGCCCGCCGGAGACCCUUUGAACGCUGAUCUGUGAAGGUGUGUCGUCUGAGUCGCGUGAGAAAUCGUGAAAACUUUCAACAACGGAUCUCUUGGUUCCGGCAUCGAUGAAGAACGCAGCGAAAUGCGAUAAGUAAUGUGAAUUGCAGAAUUCCGUGAAUCAUCGAAUCUUUGAACGCACAUUGCGCCCUCUGGUAUUCCGGGGGGCAUGCCUGUCCGAGCGUCAUUGCUGCCCUCAAGCACGGCUUGUGUGUUGGGCCGCCGUCCCCGCCCUCCGCGGGGGGACGGGCCCGAAAGGCAGCGGCGGCGCCGCGUCCGGUCCUCGAGCGUAUGGGGCUCUGUCACCCGCUCUGCAGGCCCGGCCGGCGCCCGCCGAGUCAACCACUUCUUUUCCAGGUUGACCUCGGAUCAGGUAGGGAUACCCGCUGAACUUAAGCAUAUCAAUAAGCGGAGGAAAAGAAACCAACAGGGAUUGCCCCAGUAACGGCGAGUGAAGCGGCAAGAGCUCAAAUUUGAAAUCUGGCCCCGUCGGGGUCCGAGUUGUAAUUUGCAGAGGAUGCUUCGGGUGCGGCCCCCGUCUAAGUGCCCUGGAACGGGCCGUCAUAGAGGGUGAGAAUCCCGUCUGGGACGGGUGGCCGCGUCCGUGUGAAGCUCCUUCGACGAGUCGAGUUGUUUGGGAAUGCAGCUCUAAAUGGGUGGUAAAUUUCAUCUAAAGCUAAAUACUGGCCGGAGACCGAUAGCGCACAAGUAGAGUGAUCGAAAGAUGAAAAGCACUUUGAAAAGAGAGUUAAAUAGCACGUGAAAUUGUUGAAAGGGAAGCGCUUGCGACCAGACUCGCCCGCGGGGGCUCAGCCGGCACUCGUGCCGGUGCACUCCCCCGUGGGCGGGCCAGCGUCGGUUUGGGCGGUCGGUCAAAGGCCCCCGGAAUGUGUCGCCCUUCGGGGCGUCUUAUAGCCGGGGGUGCAAUGCGGCCAGCCCGGACCGAGGAACGC
rnacentral:rRNA from 1 species